AGCUUUUAACAACGGAUCUCUUGGUUCUCGCAUCGAUGAAGAACGUAGCAAAGUGCGAUAACUAGUGUGAAUUGCAUAUUCAGUGAAUCAUCGAGUCUUUGAACGCAACUUGCGCUCAUUGGUAUUCCAAUGAGCACGCCUGUUUCAGUA
rnacentral:rRNA from 1 species